UAACGCGUGGGAACGUACCCUUUUCUACGGAAUAGCCUUUGGAAACGAAGAGUAAUACCGUAUACGCCCUUUGGGGGAAAGAUUUAUCGGAGAAGGAUCGGCCCGCGUUAGAUUAGAUAGUUGGUGGGGUAACGGCCUACCAAGUCUACGAUCUAUAGCUGGUUUUAGAGGAUGAUCAGCAACACUGGGACUGAGACACGGCCCAGACUCCUACGGGAGGCAGCAGUGGGGAAUCUUAGACAAUGGGCGCAAGCCUGAUCUAGCCAUGCCGCGUGAGUGAUGAAGGCCUUAGGGUCGUAAAGCUCUUUCGCCUGUGAUGAUAAUGACAGUAGCAGGUAAAGAAACCCCGGCUAACUCCGUGCCAGCAGCCGCGGUAAUACGGAGGGGGUUAGCGUUGUUCGGAAUUACUGGGCGUAAAGCGCACGUAGGCGAAUUGGAAAGUUGGGGGUGAAAUCCCGGGGCUCAACCCCGGAACUGCCUCCAAAACUAUCAGUCUAGAGUUCGAGAGAGGUGAGUGGAAUUCCAAGUGUAGAGGUGAAAUUCGUAGAUAUUUGGAGGAACACCAGUGGCGAAGGCGGCUCACUGGCUCGAUACUGACGCUGAGGUGCGAAAGUGUGGGGAGCAAACAGGAUUAGAUACCCUGGUAGUCCACACCGUAAACGAUGAAUGCCAGUCGUCGGGCAGUAUACUGUUCGGUGACACACCUAACGGAUUAAGCAUUCCGCCUGG
rnacentral:rRNA from 1 species